rnacentral:lncRNA from 1 species
CCUGCCGGGAGCACCGCGCAUGCCUCAGGGGGCGGGACGGGGCGGAGGGGACGAGGCAGGGAGGAGGGGAGGGGUCGAGGCGGGGCAGAGGUGACGAAGCCGAGCGGGGCGGGGUGGAGGGGACGGGGCGGGGCGGAGGGGGAAGGGGUGCGGCUGGGGCGGGUCGGAGGGGGCGGGAUGAGGCGGGGCAGGGGGGGGGGUGGUGUCGGGGCGGGGC